rnacentral:ncRNA from 1 species
UGGUCCCAGCCUUGAAGUCAGUUAUUACUUAAUAUACACAUGCAAGUCUCCGCACCCCUGUGAAAACGCCCUUCUAACCCUCUAAUGGAAAAGGAGCUGGUAUCAGGCACAAAACAAGCCCACGACACCUAGCCACGCCACACCUACACAGGUCCUCAGCAGUGAUUAACAUUGAACAUAAGUGUAAACUUGAACCAGUUAAAGUAAAAAGAGCCGGCAAAUCUGGUGCCAGCCGCCGCGGUUACACCACGUGGCUCAAAUUGACCUCCUUCGGCGUAAAGCGUGAUUAAAGUAACCUCUUACUGCAAUUAAACUUGAAUUAAGUCGUAAAACGCUUAUUCUCAGGAAAACCAAAAACGAAAGUUAUUGCAAUCAACACUGAACUCACGACAGCUAAGAUACAAACUGGGAUUAGAUACCCCACUAUGCUUAGCCGUAAACUUUUAUUUACACCCCUAUCGCCCGGGAACUACGAGCAAAGCUUAAAACCCAAGGGACUUGACGGUACCCCACAUCCACCUAGAGGAGCCUGUCCUAUAAUCGAUGAUCCACGUUUAACCUCACCAUUUUUUGUUUAUCAGCCUGUAUACCUCCGUCGUCAGCUUACCCCGUGAGCGCCAACUAGUGAGCCUAAUUACCCAGCGCUAAUACGUCAGGUCAAGGUGCAGCAUAUGAAGUGGGAAGAGAUGGGCUACACUAUCUACUUUAGAUAAUACGAAAGACUAUAUAUGAAACCUAGUCGGAAGGCGGAUUUAGAAGUAAAGAAAAACCAAAAUGCUUUCUUUAACAAGGCACUGGGGUGUGUACACACCGCCCGUCACCCUCUUCGAAGCUCAUAUUAAGUCCAUAACUCAACUCAGCACCCUAGAAGAGGCAAGUCGUAACAUGGUAAGCGUACCGGAAGGUGUGCUUGGAAA